rnacentral:rRNA from 1 species
CUUUACUGUAGCUUUGCAUUGGACUUUGACGGGACUUGUGUAGGAUAGGUGGGAGGCUGUGAGGCGUGGUCGCCAGAUCGCGCGGAGCCAACCUUGAAAUACCACCCUGGUGUCGUUGAGGUUCUAACCUUGGUCCGUGAAUCCGGAUCGGGGACCGUGCAUGGCAGGCAGUUUGACUGGGGCGGUCUCCUCCCAAAGAGUAACGGAGGAGUACGAAGGUCUUCUAAGCACGGUCGGACAUCGUGCUCAUAGUGCAAUGGCAAAAGAAGGCUUGACUGCGAGUCCAACAAGACGAGCAGGUGCGAAAGCAGGUCAUAGUGAUCCGGUGGUUCUGUAUGGAAGGGCCAUCGCUCAACGGAUAAAAGGUA